rnacentral:rRNA from 1 species
GAUGAACGCUGGCGGCGUGCCUAAUACAUGCAAGUCGAGCGAACAGACGAUGAGCUUGUGCUUCUGACGUUAGCGGCGGACGGGCGAGUAACACGUGCAUAACCUACCUAUAAUACUGGGAGAAUUUCGGGAAAACGGAGCUAAUACUGGAGAAUAUAUUGAACCGCAUGGUUCAAUAGUUAAAGAGGGCUUUUGUGACACUUAUAGAUGGAUCCGCGCCGGAUUAGCUAGUUGGUAAGGUAACGGCAUACCAAGGCGACGAUGCGUAGCCGACCUGAGAGGAUGAUCGGCCACACUGGAACUGAGACACGGUCCAGACUCCUACGGGAGGCAGCAGUAGGGAAUCUUCCGCAAUGGGCGGAAGCCUGACGCAGCAACGCCGCGUGAGUGAUGAAGGUCUUCGGAUCGUAAAACUCUGUUAUUAGGGAAGAACAACUGUGUAAGUAAACAUGCACGUUUUGACGGUACCUAAUCAAAAAGCACCGGCUAACUACGUG